rnacentral:rRNA from 1 species
GGGGAAUUUUGCGCAAUGGGGGAAACCCUGACGCAGCAACGCCGCGUGCGGGACGACGGCCUUCGGGUUGUAAACCGCUUUCAGCAGGGAAGAAAUUCGACGGUACCUGCAGAAGAAGCUCCGGCUAACUACGUGCCAGCAGCCGCGGUAAUACGUAGGGAGCGAGCGUUAUCCGGAUUCAUUGGGCGUAAAGAGCGCGUAGGCGGCCUCUCAAGCGGGAUCUCUAAUCCGAGGGCUCAACCCCCGGCCGGAUCCCGAACUGGGAGGCUCGAGUUCGGUAGAGGCAGGCGGAAUUCCCGGUGUAGCGGUGGAAUGCGCAGAUAUCGGGAAGAACACCGAUGGCGAAGGCAGCCUGCUGGGCCGCAACUGACGCUGAGGCGCGAAAGCUAGGGGAGCGAAC